CCGCCAAGUCUGGGGCCAUUCCGAGUCCCGCGGACGAACGUCGCCCACGCCCCCCGCCAAGGCUAUAGCCCACCCUUUUUUUGGCCAUUUUUCCGCUGGGGGGUCUUGGGACCCUUGACCUUCGGGGGCUGAUUUUUGGGCGCGGCUGUGCCCGUGGCCUAUUUUUGGCACACGGAGGCCGCCCGCCAAGUAUGGUGCCAUUCCGAGUCCCGCGGACGAACGUCGCCCACGCCGCCCACCAAGGCUAUAGCCCACCCUUUUUUUGGCCAUUUUUCCGCUGGGGGGUCUUGGGACCCCGACCUUCGGGGGCUGAUUUUUGGGCGCGGCUGUGCCCGUGGCCUAUUUUUGGCACACGGAGGCCGCCCGCCAAGUCUGGUGCCAUUCCGAGUCCCGCGGACGAACUUCGCCCACGCCCCCCACCAAGGCUAUAGCCCACCCGUUUUUUGGCCAUUUUUCCGCUGGGGGGUCUUGGGACCCCGACCUUCGGGGGCUGAUUUUUGGGCGCGGCUGUGCCCGUGGCCUAUUUUUGGCACAUGGAGGCCGCCCGCCAAGUCUGGUGCCAUUCCGAGUCCCGCGGACGAACUUCGCCCACGCCGCCCACCAAGGCUAUAGCCCACCCGUUUUUUUGGCCAUUUUUCCGCUGGGGGGUCUUGGGACCCCGACCUUCGGGGNNNNNNNNNNNNNNNNNNNNNNNNNNNNNNNNNNNNNNNNNNNNNNNNNNNNNNNNNNNNNNNNNNNNNNNNNNNNNNNNNNNNNNNNNNNNNNNNNNNNGUGGCCUAUUUUUGGCCACGGAGGCCACCCGCCAAGCCUGGGGCCAUUCCGAGUCCCGCGGACGAACUUCGCCCACGCCGCCCACCAAGGCUAUAGCCCACCCGUUUUUUGGCCAUUUUUCCGCUGGGGGGUCUUGGGACCCCGACCUUCGGGGGCUGAUUUUUGGGCGCGGCUGUGCCCGUGGCCUAUUUUUGGCACACGGAGGCCGCCCGCCAAGUCUGGGGCCAUUCCGAGUCCGGCGGACGAACAUCGCCCACGCCGCCCACCAAGGCUAUAGCCCACCCGUUUUUUGGCCAUUUUUCCGCUGGGGGGUCUUGGGACCCCGACCUUCGGGGGCUGAUUUUUGGGCGCGGCUGUGCCCGUGGCCUAUUUUUGGCACACGGAGGCCACCCGCCAAGCCUGGGGCCAUUCCGAGCCCCUCGGACGAACUUCGCCCACGCCCCCCGCCAAGGCUAUAGCCCACCCUUUUUUUGGCCAUUUUUCCGCUGGGGGGUCUUGGGACCCCGACCUUCGGGGGCUGUUUUUUGGGCGCGGCUGUGCCCGUGGCCUAUUUUUGGCACACGGAGGCCGCCCGCCAAGUCUGGGGCCAUUCCGAGUCCGGCGGACGAACUUCGCCCACGCCCCCCACAUAGGCUAUAGCCCACUCGUUUUUUGGCCAUUUUUCCGCUUGGGGGUCUUGGGACCCCGACCUUCGGGGGCUGAUUUUUGGGCACGGCUGUGCCCGUGGCCUAUUUUUGGCACACGGAGGCCGCCCGCCAAGUCUGGGGCCAUUCCGAGUCCCGCGGACGUACUUCGCCCACGCCGCCCACCAGGGCUAUAGCCCACCCGUUUUUUGGCCAUUUUUCCGCUGGGGGGUCUUGGGGCCCCGACCUUCGGGGGCUGAUUUUUGGGGCGCGGCUGUGCCCGUGGCCUAUUUUGGGAACACGGAGGCCGACCGCCAAGUCUGGGGCCAUUCCGAAUCCGGCGGACGAACUUCGCCCACGCCGCCCACCAAGGCUAUAGCCCACCCUUUUUUUGGCCAUUUUUCCGCUGGGGGGUCUUGGGACCCCGACCUUCGGGGGCUGAUUUUUGGGCGCGGCUGUGCCCGUGGCCUAUUUUUGGCACACGGAGGCCGCCCGCCAAGCCUGGGGCCAUUCCGAGUCCGGCGGACGAACUUCGCCCACGCCCCCCACCAAGGCUAUAGCCCACCCGUUUUUUGGCCAUUUUUCCGCUGGGGCGUCUUGGCUCGCCGACCUUCGGGGGCUGAUUUUUGGGCGCGGCUGUGCCCGUGGCCUAUUUUUGGCAUACGGAAGCCGCCCGCAAAGUCUGGGGCCAUUCCGAGUCCGGCGGACGAACUUCGCCCACACCCCCCACCAAGGCUAUAGCCCACCAAUUUUUUGGCCAUUUUUCCGCUGGGGGGUCUUGGCGCCCCGACAUUCGGGGGCUGAUUUUUGGGCGCGGCUGUGCCCGUGGCCUAUUUUUUGCACACGGAGGCUGCCCGCAAAGUCUGGCCCCAUUCCGAGUCCGGCGGACGAACUUCGCCCACACCCCCCACCAAGGCUAUAGCCCACCCGUUUUUUGGCCAUUUUUCCGCUGGGGUGUCUU
rnacentral:lncRNA from 1 species